GGGUUGUGAGGUUAAGCGACUAAGCGUACACGGUGGAUGCCCUGGCAGUCAGAGGCGAUGAAGGACGUGCUAAUCUGCGAUAAGCGCCGGUAAGGUGAUAUGAACCGUUAUAACCGGCGAUUUCCGAAUGGGGAAACCCAGUGUGACUCGUCACACUAUCAUUAACUGAAUCCAUAGGUUAAUGAGGCGAACCGGGGGAACUGAAACAUCUAAGUACCCCGAGGAAAAGAAAUCAACCGAGAUUCCCCCAGUAGCGGCGAGCGAACGGGGAUGAGCCCAGAGCCUGAAUCAGCAUGUGUGUUAGUGGAAGCGUCUGGAAAGGCGCGCGAUACAGGGUGACAGCCCCGUACACAAAAGCGCAUAUGCUGUGAGCUCGAUGAGUAGGGCGGGACACGUGGUAUCCUGUCUGAAUAUGGGGGGACCAUCCUCCAAGGCUAAAUACUCCUGACUGACCGAUAGUGAACCAGUACCGUGAGGGAAAGGCGAAAAGAACCCCGGCGAGGGGAGUGAAAAAGAACCUGAAACCGUGUACGUACAAGCAGUGGGAGCCCCACCACUAAGCCAGUGGUGAACUCCACAUACGCAUCCUUUGCUGAGGAUGCGGUUAACGGAGCGAAAGCGACGUUCAACCGCAAAAGAAGCAGAGGGGGCUUAGUGGUGGGGUGACUGCGUACCUUUUGUAUAAUGGGUCAGCGACUUAUAUUCUGUAGCAAGGUUAACCGAAUAGGGGAGCCGGAGGGAAACCGAGUCUUAAUUGGGCGUUAAGUUGCAGGGUAUAGACCCGAAACCCGGUGAUCUAGCCAUGGGCAGGUUGAAGGUUGGGUAACACUAACUGGAGGACCGAACCGACUAAUGUUGAAAAAUUAGCGGAUGACCUGUGGCUGGGGGUGAAAGGCCAAUCAAACCGGGAGAUAGCUGGUUCUCCCCGAAAGCUAUUUAGGUAGCGCCU
rnacentral:rRNA from 1 species